rnacentral:lncRNA from 1 species
AUCUCCAAGCCUCGUUGUAGGCCGUGUACUGGGGGUGGCUGUACGGGUUGCCGGAGAACUCGCUCCCUGCGGGAGGGUCGGGGAGUGGGGAUCAGACGCGUGCACGCCGGAGCGGACCCCACGAGUCCGGCCGGUGGCUUCUCCGCCCGCUCCUCCCUCCGGGUCUCAGGCGCAGGUGUCGCGGGCAGGGUAAUAGCCUGGCGGUUGGGCCGGGCGGAGGUGGGGCGAUCACCGCGUCCGCGUGGGGAGAGCCCGGGCAGGCGGGAGGCACCGACGCGCUCGCACACCCACGGGUGGACCCUGUGGGCCAGUGCCCGCCCGGGGCUUCCCAGCGGAGGCGCUCGCGGCCACCCACGAAGGCUUUGUACUGGGGCGCGUCCACCCUGUCGCACUGGGGGCCAGGGCCUUUAUAGAGGCCACUCCGGUUCUAGGAGGCAUGGCCCCCAAUGGGCGGAAAUGGGGAUGGGGGACAGUGGCGAAGAAAGGCCUUCGGGACACUUUUCUCCCAGAAAGUCCUAUGAAUGGCAUCAAUGCGCGGUGCCAACACAAGAGGUGGGGGCUCUGUUGGGAGACACCGCCCUCCCGCUUUUCCCUCAAGAGGUUGGAUGCGUGGGCUACGCGGCAGGGGAUGGAGGCGGCAGGAAGCAGAUCAACAUCACUGCCAGCAUCUCGGCAUGCUCCUCUGUCACUGCAGCCCCGGCCAGGCAUGGGGAGGGAGGCAAGGAGAGACUCGGCUCCGUUCCAGACCAGCAGCCUAGAGCCGUGGGCUGGAGAGAAGAGAUGCCGCUGAGCUAGAGCAGCCCAGCGGCGGAAGGGAAAGUGGGUGAUAAAUUUAAAUAACCAGCUUGACUUGGCAGCUUGCUGAGUUGUGAUGCAGUGAAAUUAAAAUCUCGGCAGAACUUGCAAACACUACCCAGCAAAAUCAGUCUCUUUCCUUGGUUCCCUG